rnacentral:tRNA from 2 species
GCAGUUGUAGCUCAGCUGGUUAGAGCGCCUGUCUGUGGAACAGGAGGUCGGUGGUUCGAACCCACCCAACUGUACCA